UGAAGAGGGAAGAGCUCAAAUUUGAAAUCUGGCAGUGUUUUGCUGUCCGAGUUGUAAUCUAGAGAAGUGCUGCCCGUGCUGGACCAUGUACAAGUCUCCUGGAAUGGAGCGUCACAGAGGGUGAGAAUCCCGUCUUUGACAUGGACUGCCAGUGCAUUUGUGGUGUGCUCUCAAAGAGUCGAGUUGUUUGGGAAUGCAGCUCUAAAUGGGUGGUAAACUCCAUCUAAAGCUAAAUAUUGGCGAGAGACCGAUAGCGAACAAGUACCGUGAGGGAAAGAUGAAAAGAACUUUGGAAAGAGAGUUAAACAGUAUGUGAAAUUGUUGAAAGGGAAACGCUUAAAGUCAGUCGUGUCGGCCAGGGAUCAACUCAGUAUUAUCUGCUGGGUGUACUUCCUGAUCUGAUGGGCCAACAUCAGUUUUGACUGCUGGAGAAGGAUAGAGGGAAUGUGGCACCUUUGGGUGUGUUAUAGCUCUCUGUCGGAUGCAGUGGUUGGGACUGAGGAAUGCAGCAUGCCGCAAGGCCGGGUCGUUUCGACCACGUUCAUGCUGAGGAUGUUGGCAUAAUGGCUUUAAUCGACCCGUCUUGAAACACGGACCAAGGAGUCUAACAUGCCUGCGAGUGUUUGGGUGGCAAACCCGAGUGCGGAAUGAAAGUGAAAGGUUGAGAUCCCUGUCAUGGGGAGCAUCGACGCCCGGACCUGAGCUCAAUGCAAAGGAUCUGCGGUAGAGCAUGUAUGUUAGGACCCGAAAGAUGGUGAACUAUGCCUGAAUAGGGUGAAGCCAGAGGAAACUCUGGUGGAGGCUCGUAGCGAUUCUGACGUGCAAAUCGAUCGUCGAAU
rnacentral:rRNA from 1 species